rnacentral:rRNA from 1 species
CGCUAGUAAUCGCGGAUCAGCAUGCCGCGGUGAAUACGUUCCCGGGUCUUGUACACACCGCCCGUCACACCACGAGAGUUGGUAACACCCGAAGUCGGUGAGGUAACCUUUUGGAGCCAGCCGCCGAAGGUGGGACCAAUGAUUGGGGUGAAGUCGUAACAAGGUAGCCGUAUCGGAAGGUGCGGCUGG